ACCACCGCUAUUGGAAUCCGCUUAAGACAUGCGAGUUGAGAGGGUUAGACCCUCGGCAUACUGCUCAGUAACACGCGGACAAUCUGCCCUUCGGUGGGGGAUAAUCUCGGGAAACUGAGCAUAAUACCCCAUAGCCCACGGAUGCUGGAAUGCUUCGUGGCUGAAAGCUCCGGCGCCAAAGGAUGAGUCUGCGGCCUAUCAGGUAGUAGCGGGUGUAACGGACCCACUAGCCAGUGACGGGUACGGGCGUUGGGAGACGUCGCCCGGAGAUGGAUUCUGAGACACGAAUCCAGGCCCUACGGGGCGCAGCAGUCGCGAAAACUUGUCAAUGCGGGAAACCGCGAACAGGGGAGUCCAAGUGCAUGCGCUAUGCGUAUGCUGUUCGGUUGCCUAAAAAGCAGCUGAAGGAAGGGCUGGGUAAGACAGGUGCCAGCCGCCGCGGUAAUACCUGCAGCCCGAGUGGUGGUCGAUAUUAUUGAGCCUAAAGCGUCCGUAGCCGAUCUAGUAAACCCUUGGGUAAAUCGGGCAGCUCAACUGUCCGAAUUCCGAGGGGACUGCUAGAUUUGGGACCGGGAGAGGUCAGAGGUACUCCGGGGGUAGGGGCUAAAUGCGUGCUGGGCCGUAAUUACGGUUAUCCAUCAUGCUUAGCAUUCCUGUAAUCCUCGGGGGACCACCAGUGGCGAAGGCGUCUGACUAGAACGGAUCCGACGGUAAGGGACGAAACCCUGGGGCGCGAACCGGAUUAGAUACCCGGGUAGUCCAGGGCGUAAACGCUGCAGGCUUGGUGUUGGGGGUCCUACGGGGGCGCCCAGUGCCGGAGUGAAGAUGUUAAGCCUGCCGCUUGGGGAGUACGUCCGCAAGGAUGAAACUUAAAGGAAUUGG
rnacentral:rRNA from 1 species